UAUUAUACUAAUAAAUAUUAUGAAAAUCUGAAUUAUUAAUAGAUAUAUUCUUUAAAUUUGAAGAAUUUGGCGGUAAUUUAGUCUUGUUAGAGGAACCUGUUUUUUAAUCGAUACACCACGUAUAAUCUUACUUAUCCUUAAAGUUUAUAUACCAUCAUUAGUAGAUAAUUUUUAAAAAAUUAAUUAUUAAAGUUUAAAAAAAAAAUUAACUUAAAUUAGAUCAAGGUGUAGCUAAUGGGUAAGUUAAAAUGGGUUACAAUAAAAUUUAUUUAGACGGAAUAAAUAUAAAGAAGUUAGUUUAUAGAAGGAGGAUUUAAUUGUAAUAUGAGUUUAAUAAGCUUAUAAGAUAUAAGCUCUAAAUUAU
rnacentral:rRNA from 1 species